GACGAACGCUGGCGACGUGCUUAACACAUGCAAGUCGAACGGAAAGGCCCUGCUUUUGUGGGGUGCUCGAGUGGCGAACGGGUGAGUAACACGUGAGUAACCUGCCCUUGACUUUGGGAUAACUUCAGGAAACUGGGGCUAAUACCGGAUAGGAGCUCCUGCUGCAUGGUGGGGGUUGGAAAGUUUCGGCGGUUGGGGAUGGACUCGCGGCUUAUCAGCUUGUUGGUGGGGUAGUGGCUUACCAAGGCUUUGACGGGUAGCCGGCCUGAGAGGGUGACCGGCCACAUGGGGACUGAGAUACGGCCCAGACUCCUACGGGAGGCAGCAGUGGGGAAUAUUGCACAAUAGGCGGAAGCCUGAUGCAGCAACGCCGCGUGCGGGAUGACGGCCUUCGGGGUGUAAACCGCUUUCGCCUGUGACGAAGCGUGAGUGACGGUAAUGGGUAAAGAAGCACCGGCUAACUACGUG
rnacentral:rRNA from 1 species